CCUACGGGUGGCUGCAGUAGGGAAUCUUCCACAAUGGACGAAAGUCUGAUGGAGCAACGCCGCGUGUGUGAUGAAGGUUUUCGGCUCGUAAAACACUGUUGUAAGAGAAGAAUGACAUUGAGAGUAACUGUUCAGUGUGUGACGGUAUCUUACCAGAAAGGAACGGCUAAAUACGUGCCAGCAGCCGCGGUAAUACGUAUGUUCCAAGCGUUAUCCGGAUUUAUUGAGCGUAAAGCGAGCGCAGAAGGUUGUGUAAGUACGCAGUGAAAGCCCACAGCGUAACUGUGGAAUUGCUUUGGAAACUGGCUAACUUGAGUGCAGUAGAGUAGAGUGGAACUCCAUGUGUAGCGGUGAAAUGCGUAGAUAUAUGGAAGAACAACAGUGGCGAAGGCGGCUCUCUGGACUGUAACUGACGUUGAGGCUCGAAAGUGUGGGUAGCAAACAGGAUUAGAUACCCGAGUAGUC
rnacentral:rRNA from 1 species